rnacentral:rRNA from 1 species
CAAGUCGAGCGAGGAGGCCCGCAAGGGCUCAUUCUAGCGGCGAACGGGUGAAUAACGCGUGGAUAACCUACCCUAAGGUGGGGGAUAACCCGGGGAAACUCGGGCUAAUACCGCAUAAUACCNANAGGUCAAAGGGGGCUCGCAAGGGCUCUCACCAUUGGAGGGGUCCGCGUCCGAUUAGCUAGUUGGUAGGGUAAUGGCCUACCAAGGCGACGAUCGGUAGCCGGCCUGAGAGGGUGAUCGGCCACACUGGAACUGAGACACGGUCCAGACUCCUACGGGAGGCAGCAGUGGGGAAUUUUGCGCAAUGGGCUAACGCCUGACGCAGCAACGCCGCGUGGAGGAUGAAGGUCUUUGGAUUGUAAACUCCUGUCAGCAGGGAAAAAGCGAAUCGGCCUAACACGCCGGUGAGUUGAUUGUACCUGCAGAGGAAGCCCCGGCUAACUCUGUGCCAGCAGCCGCGGUAAUACAGAGGGGGCAAGCGUUAUUCGGAAUUAUUGGGCGUAAAGGGCGCGUAGGCGGCUUGGCAAGUGGAUGGUGAAAUCCCUCGGCUUAACCGAGGAACUGCCGUCCAAACUGCUUUGCUUGAGACCAGGAGAGGUGAGUGGAAUUCCCAGUGUAGCGGUGAAAUGCGUAGAUAUUUGGGAGGAACACCAGUGGCGAAGGCGGCUCACUGGACUGGUACUGACGCUGAGGCGCGAAAGCGUGGGGAUCAAAC